UGCCAGACUCCUACGGGAGGCAGCAGUGGGGAAUAUUGCACAAUGGGGGAAACCCUGAUGCAGCGACGCCGCGUGAGUGAGGAAGUAUUUCGGUAUGUAAAGCUCUAUCAGCAGGGAAGAAAAUGACGGUACCUGACUAAGAAGCCCCGGCUAACUACGUGCCAGCAGCCGCGGUAAUACGUAGGGGGCAAGCGUUAUCCGGAUUUACUGGGUGUAAAGGGAGCGUAGACGGAAUUGCAAGUCUGAUGUGAAAAUCCGGGGCCCAACCCCGGAACUGCAUUGGAAACUGUGCGGCUGGAGUGCAGGAGGGGUAAGCGGAAUUCCUAGUGUAGCGGUGAAAUGCGUAGAUAUUAGGAGGAACACCGGUGGCGAAGGCGGCUUACUGGACUGUAACUGACGUUGAGGCUCGAAAGCGUGGGGAGCAAACAGGAUUAGAUACCCUAGUA
rnacentral:rRNA from 1 species